rnacentral:tRNA from 1 species
ACAUUUGUAGUUCGGUGGUAGAAUUCUCACUUUUCAUGAGGGAGACCUGGGUUCUAUUCCCCGCCAAUGCA